rnacentral:tRNA from 1 species
GGGGUUGUAGCUCAGUUGGUAGAGCAGGGGACUUUUAAUCCCAAGGUCGUGGGUUCGACACCCACCGACCCCA